ensembl:lncRNA
UCAUGUCCUCCCACCACCACCACCACAUGGUGUGUCUGGCCCCCCUCCAGACUGUCAGUGUCUCUAUGGUGGUGUUGGGAGACGGUCAGUGUCUCUAUGGUGGUGUGGACUGUCAGUGUCUAUGGUGGUGUUGGAGAUGUCAGUGUCUCAUGGUGGUGUUGGAGACGUCAGUGUCUCUAUGUGGUGUUUGAGAUGUCAGUGUCUCUAUGCUGGUGUUUGAGACUGUCAGUGUCUCUAUGCUGGUUGUGGAGACUGUUCAGUGUCUCUAUGCUGGUGUGGAGACUGUCAGUGUCUCUAUCUGGUGUGGAGACUGUCAGUGUCUCUAUGCUGGUGUUGGAGACUGUCAGUGUCUCUAUGGUGGUGUUGGAGGACUGUCAGUGUCUCUAUGGUGGUGUUUGGAGAAUGUCAGUGUCUCUAUGGUGGUGUUGGGAGCGGUCAGUGUCUCUAUGGUGGUGUUGGACCCUCAGUGUGUCUAUGGUGGUGUUGGAGAAUGUCGUGUCUCUAUGGUGGUGUUGGAGACUGUCAGUGUCUCUAUGCUGGUGUUGGAGACUGUCAGUGUCUCUAUGGUGGUGUGUUGGAGACUGUCAGUGUCUCUAUGUUGGUGUUGGGACUGUCAGUGUCUCUAUGGUGGUGUUGGAGACUGUCAGUGUCUCUAUGCUGGUGUUUGAGACUGUCAGUGUCUCUCUGCUGUGUUGGGACUGUCAGUGUCUCUAUGCUGUGUGUUGGAGACUGUCAUGUCUCUAUGCUGGUGUUGGAGACUGUCAGUGUCUCUGGUGGUGUUGGACCCUGUCAGUGUGUCUAUGGUGGUGUUGGAGACUGCAGUGUCUCUAUGGUGGUGUUGGACCUGUCAGUGUCUCUUGGUGGUGUUGACCUGUCCGUGCUCUAUGGUGGUGUUGGACCUGUCCGUGUCUCUCUGGUGGUGUUGGGACAUGUCAGUGUCUCUAUGGUGGUGUCAUGUCCUCCCACCACCACCACCAUAUGGUGUGCCUUGCCCCUUCCAGGACUGUCGUGUGUCGUAUGGGGCCCACACCGUGAACACACUGAAGCCACUUAGAGGACAUGAUAGUUUAGCCGUCUGUCGGUGCGCUACCCCCGUGACAAACGGAGACAAGAGCUGUGUCUCUCCACGCAUGGGAACUUCUGCCUCUUGAGACAGACUUCGGAGGUCUGGCCGACUCGUAGGACAGACAUGAUUUGUACGUAGUCUGGUGCAUUAGUGAAACACUUCUAGUGAGUAUGGGGUUGUUGUUCAUACCUACUGUUGUAUAUUUUUUUUAAAUGGAAUUGACCAAGCAGUUAUUACAGGUUACUUCCAACAGCGGUAGUAUAAUUCAUAGGAUGUUUGCAUGUUGGACUUAUUUGUCUUUGUUUUAUUGAGCCAUUCCUGAAGUUCCAUGUUCGUUUUUUUUUUUUUUUUUUUUUCUUUGUUUUUGAGAAUGGUGGCUCUAAUUGGCUGUUGCAUGUUGCAUGCAGAAUGUUGUUUUUUUCUACAGAUUCUACCCUGCAGCUUGGUGUUCAACUUCAACUGUCGUUUACUUGCCAUUGAUUUGAAACUGUUUUUAAAUACUGGUUCAGCUCACAGAUAUUAUUUCUUUAAUAGUUCUGCCUUUGAUCUUCGUGUGAUAUUGUGACGUUCGUGACUGGUAUGGUUUAGCCUUUUUUUUAAAAAGCGUUUUAAUACACUAUCCACCUGACAAUGUACUGAAUCAGCCUAUAGCCUAUUUGCAUAUGAUUUUAACUCUCUAGUGUGAUUUGCUGUAAGGCAGAAUGGAUUGUAUCUACCUCUACAAUUAUUUCAGUAAAAUGUUGUUGUUUUUGUAAAACAUUUGAUCAGAAACAUACAAUGCAAAUGAAACCCACCCCCUUGAUCUUUGUUGGAGUCAGGUUAUUAUUUUUUUUAACAAUUUAUUAUGUCUCCCAGGAGUUUAUUUGAGCAGAAAGUGUCGCAAAAUUAAAAAUACAUUUUUUUAAUUUUACCAGUUGAAGUGAUUUUAAUGUUUUUUGUUGUGUUUUUUAAACAUUUUGACUCACUGUUAUUUAUAUUACUGUGAUCUUCAGAGAAAACACCAUUGCAAAGCCUGUCUGUUUCAAUGAUAAUUGUGGUCAUUUUAAUGUCGAUUUGUAGAAAGAGAACCAUCACCUGAAAUAAUGGAACAGGAAGUCGAAUGGUUUUAAGGAAAUUGUAUUUGCGUCCCAAAUGGCACCCUAUGCCCUAUAUAGUGCACUACUUUAGACCAGAGCCCUAUAGAACCCUAUUCCCUAUAUAGUGCACUUCUGGUUUUGAGUAGAGCCCUGGUCAGAAGUAGUGUACUGUGUAGAGGAUAGGGUGCUAUUUUUAGGAUGCAUACUUUAUCACUACAUGACUUGAGACUGGUGUUAGACUCUACUGCCGUGUGAAGUUUAAACUGGUGUUAGACUCUACUGCCGUGUGAAGUUUAAACUGGUGUUAGACUCUACUGCCGUGCGAAGUUACUUUAAACCACCAAUAGAGAAUGAAAAGUAUGGCUUGUUUAUUAUUCUGUCAUGUGUGAUGCUAACCAAUCACAUCACAGUGAGGAGGGGUAGUAGUCUAUAUGACUGCAUCACAGUGAGGAGGGGUAGUAGUCUAUAUGACUGCAUCACAGUGAGGAGGGGUAGUAUAUAUGACUGCAUCACAGUGAGGAGGGGUAGUAGUCUAUAUGACUGCGUCACACUGAGGAGGGGUAGUAGUCUAUAUGACUGCGUCACACUGAGGAGGGGUAGUAGUCUAUAUAACUGCGUCACAGUGAGGAGGGGUAGUAGUCUAUAUGAUAUAUAUAUGAUAUAUCCAUUUUGUUUCCUCUGUUUCAACACGUAUGAAAAUGAAAUUAAACGUUUUAUUGCUCUUGUUAUAAAAAUAUAUUUUAAUGAAUUUUUUAUUUAUUUAUUUGGAUAGUUCAUGUUUAAUUGUUGUAAAAGCCUUAAGAGUUAAAAAAAAAAAUAGAGCAAGGUUUGUUCAUUAAUCUCACAGAAUCAAAACUAGUCUUAUGUCCUCCCGUCUUUUCUAAUGUAACGAGUGUUGUGAGUAGUAUGAGCGGGGAAAACCGUGGACUGCUUGCCUUUUACACAAGUCUGUUUGUGACACUAGGUGGCAGUGUUACCCAGGAAAUUCAACGUUGGGUAAUUUUACCCAGAGAGCCAAUUGAUUCCUCACUGGAGAAUAAAGUGUCAACUUCACUCUGGGGUUGUUGUUUUUUUCUGGUGAAGUUUUAAAACUGGUUUGCUACAUUUAACAAAAACAGAAUCCAACUAAAGUGCAGAUCCAAAUUGAUUUAUUUAUAAAUUACGUAUGCUGAAUACAGCAGAAUAGACCUUACGGUGAAAUGCUGAUUUACAAGCCCUUAAAACGACAAUGCAGUUUUAGAUUUUAAAUGUUUAUUUAACUAGUCAAAUCAGUUAAGAACACAUUCUUAUUCACAAUGACGGCCUAGGAAAUUGUGGGUUAACUGCCUUGUUCAGGGGCAGAACAACAGAUUUUUUACCUUGUCAGCUCGGGGAUUCAAUCCAACAACCUUUCAGUUACUGGCCCAACGCUCUAACCACUAGGCUACCUGCUGUUUACUGGCCCAAUGCUCUAACCACUAGGCUACCUGCUGGUUACUGGCCCAACAACUACUCUCCAAAAAC